UACGGGGGGGGCAAGCGUUGUUCGGAAUUACUGGGCGUAAAGGGCUCGUAGGCGGCCAACUAAGUCGGACGUGAAAUCCCUCGGCUUAACCGGGGAACUGCGUCCGAUACUGGAUGGCUUGAGUUCGGGAGAGGGAUGCGGAAUUCCAGGUGUAGCGGUGAAAUGCGUAGAUAUCUGGGAGGACACCGGUGGCGAAGGCGGCAUCCUGGACCGACACUGACGCUGAGGAGCGAAAGCAUGGGGAGCGAACAGG
rnacentral:rRNA from 1 species